GGCUCCUGAAAUCCUCCGGUGUGAACUUCUCCCAGGGCUGUUGAUGCUUCAUCUACUCUUCUGGCAGUGGGGGCCUGGACCUUAGUUACCCGGGAAGCGUGAGUCAUGUUGCACAGUUGAGCUGGCACAUAAAACUACGAGGACAGAGAGCCAAGGAGUGGACCAACAUGCCUGAGUUUACACAGUGGACCUGAGGACCGUCACCUCCCAGUGCAAUGUUCCUGUGUACUGCCACUGAAGAGACAGGUGGGAGGGAGCUCAAGGUUGACUUGCCUAACAACCAUUGCUUGAAAGACAAAGCUCCCAAGGAGAGCACAAAAUACCUCACUCGAGACUCCUCUGCAUCACCAACCAGUGUGAAGAAAGCCUGCAGCUGUCAGCA
ensembl:antisense 4933431E20Rik RIKEN cDNA 4933431E20 gene